rnacentral:misc_RNA from 1 species
UACGUAGGUGGCAAGCGUUGUCCGGAAUUAUUGGGCGUAAAGCUCGUGCAGGCGGUUCCUUAAGUCUGCUGUGAAAGCUCACGGCUCAACCGUGGAGGGUCAUUGGAAACUGGGGAACUUGAGUGCAGAAGAGGAAAGCGGAAUUCCACGUGUAGCGGUGAAAUGCGUAGAGAUGUGGAGGAACACCAGUGGCGAAGGCGGCUUUCCGGUCUGUAACUGACGCUGAGGCGCGAAAGCGUGGGGAGCAAACAGG